rnacentral:lncRNA from 1 species
GAUGGUGUUUGACAUGUAUAACAAAAUAUGUAGCUGAACAUAUACAUGGAGGUACAUAUAUACCUGGUGUAUCAUAUGUGCUAUCACCAUCGGUCUGUUCAAGUAUCAUCCAUUCGGAGGGAGUAAUAUGGACUCCUACAAGUCACACGCUACAUUAGAUAAGGUUGUGCCCAAGUCUGUUAGGUAUGAUUUAUCACAUAAAAAGGAUAAAAUUAAGCUCUGCAUAUUUGCACAGCCUUAUACCUGGACUACGUGGGUAAAUUCUGUCAACAUCGUCGGCUACGGGUAUACUCCCUUCGUUGGAGGCGUCAACAUUUGUCCCCUCCAUCGGGCCUGCAAAACAUUCAGUCUCCUGGGAUGGUGUUUGACUUGUGUGGCACAAUUUAUAGGUGAACAUAUACCUGGAGGUACAUGUGAUGAGGUCGUCUGUUUCGUUGGCUUGCUGUGUGGAGUCCCCAUAUGGAACUAUUAAAAAAAAGACAUGUCCAACAGACUCAGGUAUCCCGCAAAUACUUGUAAACUGAUUUUGCAAGUAGAUCACGUGAAAUACCAACAGUACUAAAGGCCUGUUUCCAUUGUACAGAUUUAUGAGUUUUCCUAUACAUAUCGAAAUAGAAAGACAUGUCCAACAGACUUUGCUACCUUUCAAUUUUUUGUAAACUGACUAUGUUGGUUACAUGUUAAAAAUUCAAGAUGUUAAGAUGAACUGUUCAUAUGAUUGCAGCCAGAUGAAGGCCAUCGAAGAUCACAAGGGCAGCUUGCUAUUGUACAGGAAUUCAACACAUAAGGGCAGCUUGUUACAUUUACAGAAACUCAUGAUGUUGGCAAUGGUAAGGGGGCGAAAUCAUGAAGGCACGGUUGGGUUGCAAGGUGCUCAAACUCUCAUAUUGCGAUUUGCCUACAACUUUGUUUGUAGGUUUGUUUGUUUGGUUGUUUGUAGUUUGUUUCUGUGACCUGUACUAAAGCAAAUAGCAGCUAUUUGCAGUCCGACAUACAUGUGCAUAUACAAAACUCAGAGAAGUCAUGGUAAAAACUUGCUGUUAAGCGACGAUAUGGGUGUCAUAAAGAACUUGGAAUUGGUGGGUGAGCAUGGAAAUCUAAGCUAGUCUAGGUUUGGCUCUGCAGUGUGGUAUUGGGGGACUGUUUGAAUUAGACUUCAGAUUUUAGCACCGCUUUCCUCAGUGUUUCAGGGUAAACAUGCCAUAUGUUGAGCAUCAAAUAUCUUGCGCAUGUGGGUUGAUUUGGUUCGAUCUAGUCCGGCCUGAUUGGUUGAGACCAAGGCUUAUUCGACUGGUUUGAAGCAGUCCAGAGCGGAACAUAUGCAUGAUUUUUUGAAUUUAUUUGGUGGUUUGACCAGUUGAACUUCCUGUUUUUAAUGAUUAGAAUCAUUCACUGAACUUGACUACAGCUAUUCCCUUACCAUAUGAUGGUUACGCUUAUCAGUUUGGUACUUUUGUGGACCGGAUGAGGCCCUGAUUAUGAUUUUAGACUAACUGACGGUUGUAUAUGUUUCUUGUGCCCAAACUGCUUUUUUGGAUAGCAAAGAAUUUUUAGCCCCAGUUAUCACACCAUUUGAAGCUGUAUUAGCUUUUAGCAGGUACGUGCCAUUAUUGAACACGAGUCCAUCAGGAUCGCCCUGAUUUGUACACGAAGACCUUACAAACAAAACCUGAGUUCAUACAUGGGGUUGAAAUCGUACAGCAUACCUGGGGUUGAAACCACCCUGCGUCUGCAGCGGCGCCGAUGGGAGCUCCUACGUAUGUGGCAGCGAUCCAGAAACGUGGAUGCG